rnacentral:rRNA from 1 species
UUCCGGUUGAUCCUGCCGGAGGCUACCGCUAUUGGAAUCUGAUUAAGCCAUGCGAGUUGAAAGGGUUUAGACCCUUAGCGGACGGCUCAGUAACACGUGGAGAACCUACCCUCAGGUGGGGGAUAAUCCCGGGAAACUGGGAAUAAUACCCCAUAGGUCUCGAUUGCUGGAAUGCUUUGAGGCUGAAAGUUCCGACGUCUGAGGAUGGCUCUGCGGCCUAUCAGGUAGUAGUGAGGGUAACGUCCUCACUAGCCGAUGACGGGUACGGGCGUUGAGAGACGGAGCCCGGAGAUGGACUCUGAGACACGAGUCCAGGCCCUACGGGGCGCAGCAGGCGCGAAACCUCCGCAAUGCUCGAAAGAGUGACGGGGGGAUUCCAAGUGCCUACGCUCAGCGUAGGCUGUUCAGAUGCCUAAAAAGCAUUUGGAGUAAGGACUGGGUAAGACGGGUGCCAGCCGCCGCGGUAAUACCCGCAGUCCGAGUGGUGGUCGAUUUUAUUGGGCCUAAAGCGUCCGUAGCCUGUCCGGUAAAUGCCUGGGUAAAUCGUCUGGCUCAACCAAACGAAUUCCGGGUAGACUACCAGACUUGGGACCGGUUGAGGGAGAGGGUACUUCAGGGGUAGGAGUGAAAUCUUGUAAUCCCUGAAGGACCACCAGUGGCGAAGGCGCUCUCCUAGAACGGGUCCGACGGUGAGGGACGAAAGCCAGGGGAGCAAACCGGAUUAGAUACCCGGGUAGUCCUGGCCGUAAACGAUGCGGGCUUUGCAUUGGGGAUCCUACGAGGGUGCCCAGUGCCGAAGCGAAGGCGUUAAGCCCGCCGCCUGGGAAGUAUGGUCGCAAGGCUGAAACUUAAAGGAAUUGGCGGGGGAGCACCGCAAUGGGAGGAGCGUGCGGUUUAAUUGGAUUCAACGCCGGA